GAAGUAUGAGUUAGUGGCGGACCGGUGAGUAACGCGUGGAAAACCUGCCGUAUACUGGGGGAUAACACUUAGAAAUAGGUGCUAAUACCGCAUAAGCGCACAGCUUCGCAUGAAGCAGUGUGAAAAACUGAGGUGGUAUACGAUGGUUCCGCGUCUGAUUAGCUAGUUGGUGGGGUAAAAGCCUACCAAGGCAACGAUCAGUAGCCGGCCUGAGAGGGUGAACGGCCACAUUGGGACUGAGACACGGCCCAAACUCCUACGGGAGGCAGCAGUGGGGAAUAUUGCACAAUGGGGGAAACCCUGAUGCAGCGACGCCGCGUGAGUGAAGAAGUAUUUCGGUAUGUAAAGCUCUAUCAGCAGGGAAGAAAUACUGACCAUAGGGUCAGCAGACGGUACUUGACUAAGAAGCCCCGGCUAACUACGUGCCAGCAGCCGCGGUAAUACGUAGGGGGCAAGCGUUAUCCGGAUUUACUGGGUGUAAAGGGAGCGUAGACGGCAGCGCAAGUCUGAAGUGAAAUGCCAGGGCUUAACCCUGGAACUGCUUUGGAAACUGUGCAGCUAGAGUGCAGGAGAGGUAAGUGGAAUUUCUAGUGUAGCGGUGAAAUGCGUAGAUAUUAGGAGGAACACCAGUGGCGAAGGCGGCUUACUGGACUGUAACUGACGUUGAGGCUCGAAAGCGUGGGGAGCAAACAGGAUUAGAUACCCUGGUAGUCCACGCUGUAAACGAUGAUUACUAGGUGUUGGGGGACCAAGGUUCUUCGGUGCCGUCGCAAACGCAAUAAGUAAUCCACCUGGGGAGUACGUUCGCAAGAAUGAAACUCAAAGGAAUUGAC
rnacentral:rRNA from 1 species